rnacentral:tRNA from 1 species
GCCUGAGUGGCUCAGUUAGUUGAGCAUCUGACUUUGGCUCAGGUCAUGAUCUCGUGUUUGUGGGUUUGAGCCCCGUGUCAGACC